rnacentral:rRNA from 1 species
UACGAAGGGGGCUAGCGUUGUUCGGAAUCACUGGGCGUAAAGAGCACGUAGGCGGAUCUUUAAGUCAGGGGUGGAAUCCCGAGGCUCAACCUCGGAACUGCCUUUGAUACUGGAGGUCUCGAGUCCGGGAGAGGUGAGUGGAACUGCGAGUGUAGAGGUGAAAUUCGUAGAUAUUCGCAAGAACACCAGUGGCGAAGGCGGCUCACUGGCCCGGUACUGACGCUGAGGUGCGAAAGCGUGGGGAGCAAACAGG